AAGAUUAAGGAGAUAUUCACUGAACUUUCCUAGCCAGGCCACAGCUUCUACAUACCUAUUACAAGGCUGUUAAACCUCACUAAAUGUGUUUGCAAUAACUACUCGCUAUUUCAUUAUGGAGCAAUAACUCUCCUUAUUGAGUCUAAAUUAAAUCCUUAUUUGAGACACUUCAUUUAAGGUGUUAUUGGGAAACCCACCUUGGAAGAAGCAGAACCAACCUUUGCUUUAUAGCUUACAAGAUUAUAUUAUACACAUAUGUAUAAAUGUCUAAUUUCAGGGCAUUACACCUCAAUGGCUGCAGCUCACAGCUGUAGUCUCCAGAGUCAGACUUAAGACAUAGACUGGAGCUUUGCAUCACACCAAGACCUCCAGAAUGUCUGUGGCUCUCUCCUUUCCCAGUGAUACCUCUUUUCUUUGCAGCUGUUGCUGUGUGGGGAACCAGCAUCCCUCUUAAACUUCCUUUUACAAAGGCUUCCUGCCCUGAACUAUGGAGGCCUCCCCAGGUGUGUUCGGUUGCCAUGUUUAGCCUGAGAUGAGUUAAUAACUUUCUGAAAGCUGGCAUGAAAUUGGUCCAAGCACCUUGUUCCAUUGUGAAUGGGUAGAGGGAAAGCAUAAGAGUUAAUUUGCAGAUUUGAAUGUGAUCAUGCAGGACCCUUCUGGUAGCCCAUGAUGAUGUGACUGGUUCAGCUAUGAUGCAAAAGACCAGCUUUGUACUUCAUGACCAAUAGAAGUAAUGGCAAAGGUCUUUGCUCAGGGAGCUGUAGUGCUGCCUCACAUAUGUCAUGCCCCUAUAAAAGUCAAGACUGUGAUUCAGGAUUUAAAAAAUAUCAAUAAUAUUGAUCAGCACUGACUGGGAGCAUUUACUGGUAGAACUCAGAGAGCUUUCUAGAAUGGUAGCUCUCUCCUACUUUACAGCUGAGGCAAUUGAAAUGCCAUUUCUAAGCUGCAAUAGAGUGAGCGGUGAAGGGGUGAUGAUAGCCUACCUCUGCUAAAUCCUAGCUCAGUCCUCUUUGCUUGUUAAAGAAAAAGAGGCACCUUGUAGUGAAUGUUUUCAACAACAAUCCUUCAAAAACUCAGCAUCCAGCAAUGAGACUGUGUAUAUAGAAAUCACAAUGGAAAGGGAUGGGCUGGCUCAAAAAAUAACAGAAUAUUUUUAGAUCCUCCUGCUUUUAGAUCACUGAUCAAGGCUGGUGAUGGCCUGUUCAGCUGCCCCUUGAAACAACACUGGUUUGUUUCAUCUGUCAUCAUUGCCAAGGGCACUACUUUCUCCCAUGGUUUAACUCUCUGGUUCUUUGAGGCAAAACAACUCAGGAGUUGAGGAACAACAGAAACCAGUCUCUGUUCUUCCCUAGAAAUGCUCUGGUGGAGAAACACAUGGGAAACUCAGCAGGUCUGGGGCUUCAGCAAGCUCAUAAUGCAGGGUGCAUGCCUUUUGAUAAGGAAAUUGUAUUUCUAAAACAAAGUGUUUCAAGAAGGAAGGGGUGAAAUCUCUUCCAUUCUCUGCUCCUUCCUCCCACUGAGGUGAUCUAUACUGCUAAGAGACCACCCUAAUAAACACAACCCAUCUGGAUCAUUUAGAGCUGGAGACAUUCACAUCCUUGCCAGGCUCUAGACUCAGCAUCUUGGGUCUAUUUCUAACACAAAGUGGAGAAUUUUGCCUAAAAGCUAUUGCUGGUUCUUGGAGAGGAAACACAUUUUGAAUCUUGACAGUCCUGGGGCUGGGCUAACAUCAUUAUACCAGUGUUUUCUCCUCCCAGAGUCCUUUUAAACUCAAGAGUCUGUGUUUAUACAGUUCUUAGCCCAAAGGGGGGCUCAUUCUGUGUUAGCCCUUUGGCACUGCAGCAAUAAACAGGAUUAAUAACUGGAGUCAGCAGGGCUCAGUACCCGUUAGAAUUUCCCAUGGACUAUCCAGAAGGUGCUGUUCCUACAAGCAUCUUGGCAGUGAAUUAUUUAUGGGCAGCAUAAGGAUCGUGGUGCUUGCCAGUUUAUUAGAUUUAUAACUAGCUGUGUUAGGUCCAUUGUGUGUGUGUCAGUGCAUGUACGAGCAUGUACUUGUUCAGCUGUUUCUCUCCAGUCCUCUGCUAGUUAGGGAAGAUCUGCUCACACACAUUUGCAAUAUAAACACAUCACUUUGUGACUCAGAUGUGAGAAAAUCCAGGAGAGGAAUAUGAUUGUUACACAGGAGGGAAAAGUUUGUUUAGGUGCCUUAACUACAGAUGCAAACGUUCAUCCAAGCACAGGUUGAAAAACUGAGAUGUGAGAUUAUUUGAAGGGUGAGAAAGUUUGCUUUUCUUCUGAGUUUUACAGCUUCUUAGAGCUCUGCUUAUGUGGGUUUUAUAGGGAGACAUGAACUUGAACCUCCUUUUAUGACAGAUGUGUUGUUUCGAUGCCCAAGGAACUCCAGAUGGGCAGUCUUCUGGUUGGGUAUCAUGAAGGAAUUUAAACACAAUUCUCUCUUCAAACUCAUGGAGAGGAGCACUUGCCUUCCAGCUAGUAUCUGCUAUUCCAGUUCCAACAGAACUCAGAGUAGAUGUUAUUAACGGCUCAUCUUUUCCUGUUCUCUCUGAUACAUCUGUGCUAUGAUGUUGCCAAUAGAGUCAUCACUGUGUCUGAAGGUGCUGGCCUAGAGCCAUGAAACUCUACAACACCUCCUUCUGAAGAGGCACAGGUGACUGUAUUGCUAUCAAGAGAGGUGACAGGAGCAAAGACCUUUCUUCAUGCAAAUGAUCCAAGCAAGGAAGCAAAACCUCUUACAGCCAGAGAAGAACUGGCUGAAAGCAGAAUGUUUUGCAAAGUUUUCUGUGAGUCCUCAUAAACUCUGCUGUAGAGAGAACCCCUUUGAGCUGUUCAGUAAAUUGGAUGGUUUAAAUAAUAUAUGGACUGUCUUUCUGGAUUCAUGAGUACUGCUGUGAGAAGCAUUGACUUGUUCAGCCUGCAACAGUCUGCUUUCUUUUGCUUUAAAAAGUUAACUUCACUAGGCAUCAAAAUCUCACAUCUGACUUUGGAAUCUGCUUCUGGUGAGACCUGAGCUGGCUGGUGUGCAUUGCACAGCUCUGUUUUUGUGCUGUCUUGCUUGAGUUCCCAGGUGCACUUUUUCUAAAGGUUAUUUAAAAAGUCUGACAGCAGAAAAAGGAAAAAGGCAUUUUCCCUGCGAAAAUGACCUGGUCCACCAAUUUCUUAUUCCUGACCAAGUUCAGAUACCUACCUCCAGCCUCCGGACUCCUAUGUUUAUUGCUAUUUGGACUAAGGUUGCAUAUAAAGUCUGAAGAUCAACAGCUCACUGGAUCAUAUUCUUAUGGCUUCGUUCCAUGACUCCAUCCAUCUCCAACUGUCAAAAGACGCUUUCAGAUGAUUGAUCCAAAGUACCAUCCUAAAGUCUAGUGGGAUGCAUCCAAAAUCAGGUUAAAAAUGUUAUUAGGGGUGCUGUCUUCUUCAUUUUUUACUCCCCAAGAUUACCUGAGUGAGAUCUAUGCCUUUAAGCCCUAUCUCCAUAGUUGAACCAGGGGCAAAUAACGACAGUGAAACUACAGAGUAAGAGACAUCAUUGAAGAAGAGCUGCCCAUGCAAGGAUUCAAAGGUAGGGGCCUUGAGCCAGUCAGCGUUGCUUUCAGUAUCUAAAAACAGUUUAGUCAUGCUAGGAUCCUUCUGCAAUCAAUGGGGAGAAAUAUGCUCUUGGGUUGUGAUUCGUGUGAUCUGCUUUAGGCAUCUACUUCGAAAUUGGCUGAAUUGCACCUCUGGUACCAUUGACUGUAUAUUGAUAUCUGUCUACUGUAAGAAAGGAGCUUUGGGUGACUAGCUUUGACUUAGAGGUUGGAAUUUAAUCAGAUUAAUCCACCUUGUAACUCUAUAUGUACACCAGUUCUCUCUUGUUGCCAUAUAGACGUGGCAGACAUUACAAGCAGUGCCAUUUUUUCUUUUCUUUGGGACACUGCAAAUAAAUCAGAAUCAGAAAGUAUUCAAAAAGAGCAGCAAUAUUAGGUAGGGAUAACUUGUACCUGAAGCUGGGUAGAGAAUAGUAUUUGAUUCUCCUCAGCACAUUUGCAGGAAUCAAGGGCACCAAGGGUGAUUUUGUGCCUAAAAAUAAAUAUAUAUUGGUGAAGUGAGCUUUCCUGGAGUCUUCUGGCAAUUUGUCACAGAAAGGAAAAAGGUCCUCCCUCCCCUACUGAGAUAUUCUUCCUUGAAAGCUUUGGACAAUUACUACAUUUUACCUUUUCCACCGCAGCAUGGAUGCUUUCUUCUUUUUAACAGUUUGUCUAUGAGCAUUUUAGCUUCAGCUUAAUAAGAGAGGAUUGAUGCUUGCACUCUAUAGAGAGGUUGUACAGGGCAACGUUUCUGCUUGUCGCAGUAAGAAUGUUAUUGAAAAAGACACCUCAGGCAUGUGGAUGGGGGAAUAAUAAUAACAAGCAACAUGUUUUGUUUCUCUACUAUGAAACAAAACUAAAAAAGAAACAAUGAUUCCCCAUUCGCCCCCCCAAAAACAAACAAACAAAAAGGCAGUCCAUGUUCCAAAACCAAAAGCAGGUGCAAAGAGAGGUUAACAGAUCUCGAUGAUGUAAAAUGAUUGUCACUAUGAAAAUAGAAAUCCUACCAAAACAAAAUGAUAACACAUUAUGUUCAACCCUCCCACUGGGAAUAAAAAGAAAAUCUCACCUAUUUGCCUCAUGGCUCUGGCAAAAGUGACUUGGCUUCAACCAAGAUCUACAAAGAAGUGCCUUCAUUCUCUUACUUAUUUCAAUUACCCACCUUCCCAGAAGAUGCUUUGAGAAAGGCUGUACAGUAAUCAAGAAAUAAUGAAGUAAAUUUCAAAGAAUGCCGACACAGAACUAUUUCUAAUUAGAACUAUAGUUUUAUAUAGUUCUAUAUAUAGUUCUUUUUCUGUAUAGAACUAUCAUAGCAUGGCUGCAUUGCAACUGCACACCAAAGACCACUUUGGGAGCCUAACAUCAAGACAGUAUUCCCUUACUGAACCAUGUUUAUGCCUCCCAUAUUCGGUGGUUUUUCUUCCCCACAGUUUGAACUUGCACUGAUGCUUCUUUGGACCCAUAGUCCCAUUUCCUUCCUUUCAAAUAGAACCUCUAAUAAUGUCUUUCUUAUUGUUCUCUAUAGAUGUCUUUAUGUAGUGAAAACUGUUAUCAACAACCUGUCCAUUGUUUCACUACAUAUCAGUGGUGGGAAAUCCAGGACAGAACAUGAGAGCUUAUCUCCAUGGAGUGGAUGGACUUGGGCCUGGCUUUGCUUCCUCAGAGAUCAGAGCCCCCUCCGGCUUCACCUUCACAGCGAAAAAGACAUAAACCCUACAGCUCCACACUUGCAAGGCAGAGCAAUGCUGCAGCCUCGUGUGCCCUUCGACUCACUCCUUUUCCCUUGGCCAGGGCCUCAAGCAGAGCAGUGACUGAAGAGAGGUGGAGCCCCAUGACUGACUCCCCUGAGAACAUAACUCUGGUUUCUCUGACACCCCAAGCAAGAGCGAGAUGUCAGGAUCCUUCCUUUGGGUUGCUGCAUGGUGAAUCCCAGCCUGCCUAUGGUCUUUUAUGUGUCUACCCCACUCCUGUACCCGCUGAAUGCCAGUGCCAGUGAUGUUCUGCCAGCCAUCUCACAGCCUAGGCAGCAGGAAGAAGAAUCCUUAACACAGUGCAGUACAUUUUGUUCUCAUGUCUGUUUCAUGGACACUGGUAAUUCCUCCACCCUUUUGGGGGAGAUGGAUUGCCCAAAGUGGGUUAGAGGAAGAUUUGGGAAGGGAGAGAAAUGAGCUGUGUCAUUUAUACCUGGAGCAUUCUUGCCAGAGUCCUUCACCUCCAAGGAAUACUUCGAGUUGUUACCAAGGGGCAGAAGUACAAUAAAUAUGUGACAAAAAGUCAGACUGGGAGGCGUCAUUAACUAUAGUCCAAAGUACCCCAGCACAAGUUGGUACUGAAGGUUAUCAUCCAUGUAAUUUACAGAUGAUGUGGAUAUUUACAAUCUCACCUCUUAGAUAGGAUGUUGGCCAAGCUGGGAGCCUUGUUUAGCAAAAUAUUUACAUAUAUUUUUGGUAUUUAGGUCCAGUGGAAGUCAAGACAUCAGAACCUUAAUGAUGUUACAA